AAUGUGAAUUUGUGUUGUUCCAGAACCUGCCAUGAAACAGCACUGUGCUCCUUUUAUUUGGGUGCAGGGUGGAUAUCUGUGCAACUCUGGUCUCUCCACAGGCUGCAGGGGAGCAACUCCCACGUCUGCAGAACCUCUGUCCCUCCUUCCUCCCUGGCCUGGCUGUUGGCAAGGUCGUUCCUCACACUUUUGCCCUCACUCCUCACUGCUGAGCAGCAUUUUGCCCUUACUCCAACAUGUUUUGCCAGUGGCAGUGCUGCUGGGCCUAGCCGGGCCUUGCACUGGGGCCUGGUGACAGCUGGGACCAGCCAGAAUCUCACAGAGGCCUCGUGGCCACACUGCUACCACCAAAACCUGAACACGUACACCCAGUGCAGAAUGGUUCGGAGGAAACUGUCAUUCAUGAGACACUUCUGUACCUGCAAACACGUUCUUCCUGGAGACUGUGUGUUCUCUCUGAAGAGAGAGCUGAUAAAUCUCCUUUAUUUCCCAGAAAGAAGACCUUUUAUAAAAUUCUCUGGCUUAACUGUAAGCUUCUAACUGCACUAGGAGUAACCCACUCUGUAAAGAAUGGAAGGAGAAACAUGGAAAGAGAAAGAGAUUCAACAAGAUUUUACCCCUGUAUUUUGUGCCCUUAAAUGAGGCUUUUUAUUCUUUGUAGUACUAGCAAGUGUAAUUAUUUCAUUUCUGCCUUAAUGGACCAGAAAAAAAAAUCAGCUUAUAAUAAGUAAUUAAAAAAAAAAAAGGCUACUGUUGUUACGUGUGUGCUUAUGCAUGUAUGUAUGCAUAGUACUGCACUGUUUAUUUGCAGGGCUUUCUUUUUUAAGUUGGAGCAUUGAUACAGAAGGUUCAUGGCCCGUCCAGUAUACAAGUGAUAAACAGUAGGUCUGCUGCUACAAGUACUUGUAUUUUAGUCACUUCAAUAUUCGGCCUUAAAGUGUUAAACUAGUAAUAAAUGGAAUUUGAUGUGAUAACUCA
rnacentral:lncRNA from 1 species